rnacentral:misc_RNA from 1 species
UUUGCGGUGAGAAAAAAAAAUGCCCGAAUCAGAAACUUGAAGUUUAUAUUCGUAGAGCAAGUCAUCGCGCAACGUGUGCGAUUUUAUGUAAAAACGGUUUAUGGUAGCCAAAAGGAGGCUGCAGCGGCUAAAAAAAAGUCUCAUCACUUCCUUUUAUUCUCAUGCAAGCAGAAUGUAGCUAAAAAUACGAACAACGUUACGAGUCGGAAUACUUUUCCGAGAUCGAUCGAGAAACCGGUAAAAAUCUCCCAAUUUAUUCCGAACACGGUCCAAUCGGUUCAUCCCCUGCGUCUUACCCUUUCAGUUUUCCGAUCGCGAUCGAAACAUCUCAUCUGUUUCGGAGAAUUAUUUCAUUUGUUCGCCUCUGAAACACUGCGCUCAUUUUCAUCCGCAGUUGCGCAAUUUCAAUUCAAACAUCGAAAGGAUGAUAUCACCGUCCUCUGCAUAGAACUUUCAAAGCGUUUUUUAUUGCUCAGCCGAAAAUGAAAAGACGAUCACGAUUUUCAUAUUUCUUUUCCAUCCAAAAAAGUCAGCGUCGAUCGUUCGAUCAGUUACGGUAUAGUUAAAAAUAUUCUAGAACGGCAUUUUGGUGAAAAGUUGUAAUAAUUUUCUAUUCGUUAAGCGAACAAUGAACUUGUGCGGCGAAAUUUUGGUUUCGGCCAAUCGGGGCGAGGCAAAAUCCACCACUCGAAUUUAAUUU